CGGGCCGUAGCGCAGCCUGGCUAGCGCGCUUGCUUGGGGUGCAAGAGGUCGUGGGUUCAAAUCCCGCCGGCCCGACCA
rnacentral:tRNA from 1 species